CCGGCACGGGUGAGUAACACGUAUCCAACCUGCCGUCUACUCUUGGACAGCCUUCUGAAAGGAAGAUUAAUACAAGAUGGCAUCAUGAGUCCGCAUGUUCACAUGAUUAAAGGUAUUCCGGUAGACGAUGGGGAUGCGUUCUAUUAGAUAGUAGGCGGGGUAACGGCCCACCUAGUCUUCGAUGGAUAGGGGUUCUGAGAGGAAGGUCCCCCACAUUGGAACUGAGACACGGUCCAA
rnacentral:rRNA from 1 species